rnacentral:rRNA from 1 species
GACGAACGCUGGCGGCGUGCUUAACACAUGCAAGUCGAACGGUAAGGCCCUUCGGGGUACACGAGUGGCGAACGGGUGAGUAACACGUGGGUGAUCUGCCCUGCACUUCGGGAUAAGCCUGGGAAACUGGGGCUAAUACCGGAUAGGACCCUGGGAUGCAUGUCCUGGGGUGGCAAGCUUUUGCGGUGUGGGAUGGGUCCGCGGCCUAUCAGCUUGUUGGUGGGGUGAUGGCCUACCAAGGCGACGACGGGUAGCCGGCCUGAGAGGGUGACCGGCCACACUGGGACUGAGAUACGGCCCAGACUCCUACGGGAGGCAGCAGUGGGGAAUAUUGCACAAUGGGCGCAAGCCUGAUGCAGCGACGCCGCGUGAGGGAUGACGGCCUUCGGGUUGUAAACCUCUUUCAGCACCGACGAAGCGCAAGUGACGGUAGGUGCAGAAGAAGGACCGGCCAACUACGUGCCAGCAGCCGCGGUAA